rnacentral:rRNA from 1 species
UCAGUAACGGCGAGUGAAGCAGGCAACAGCUCAAAUUUGAAAUCUGGCUCUUUCAGGGCCCGAGUUGUAAUUUGGAGAGGAUGUUUCGGGCACGGUCCGGGCUUAAAUUUCUUGGAACAGAAUGUCAUGGAGGGUGAGAAUCCCGUCUGGAGCUCGGACACGACCCAUGUGAAACUCCUUCGACGAGUCGAGUUGUUUGGGAAUGCAGCUCUAAAUGGGUGGUAAAUUUCAUCUAAAGCUAAAUAUUGGCCAGAGACCGAUAGCGCACAAGUAGAGUGAUCGAAAGAUGAAAAGCACUUUGAAAAGAGAGUUAAACAGUACGUGAAAUUGUUGAAAGGGAAGCGCUGGCAACCAGACUUGCAUGUCGGGGUUCCCCCUUGCUUCUGCCUGGGUUACUCCCCGGCGUUCAGGCCAACAUCGGUUUCGGGGGUCGGUUAAAGGCCCUGGGAAUGUACCUACCCUCCGGGGUAGACUUAUAGCCCAGGGUGUCAUGCGGCCUCCCGGGACCGAGGAACGCGCUUCGGCUCGGAUGUUGGCGUAAUGGUUGUCAGCGACCCGUCUUGAAACACGGACCAAGGAGUCUAACAUCUAUGCGAGUGUUAGGGUGUCAAACCCUUACGCGGAAUGAAAGUGAACGGAGGUAGGAAGCCUUACGGCUGCACUAUCGACCGAUCCUGAAGUUUACGGAUGGAUUUGAGUAAGAGCAUAGCUGUUGGGACCCGAAAGAUGGUGAACUAUGCCUGAAUAGGGUGAAGCCAGAGGAAACUCUGGUGGAGGCUCGCAGCGGUUCUGACGUGCAAAUCGAUCGUCAAAUUUGGGUAUAGGGGCGAAAGACUAAUCGAA